rnacentral:rRNA from 1 species
UACGGGGGGGGCAAGCGUUGUUCGGAAUUACUGGGCGUAAAGGGCUCGUAGGCGGCCCACUAAGUCUGAUGUGAAAGCCCGGGGCUCACCCCCGGAAGUGCAUUGGAAACUGGUGGACUCGAGUCCCGGAGAGGAGGGUGGAAUUCCUGGUGUAGCGGUGAAAUGCGUAGAUAUCAGGAGGAACACCGGUGGCGAAGGCGGCCCUCUGGACGGUGACUGACGCUGAGGAGCGAAAGCGUGGGGAGCGAACAGG